GGUUAAGCGACUAAGCGUACACGGUGGAUGCCCUGGCAGUCAGAGGCGAUGAAGGACGUGCUAAUCUGCGAUAAGCGCCGGUAAGGUGAUAUGAACCGUUAUAACCGGCGAUUUCCGAAUGGGGAAACCCAGUGUGACUCGUCACACUAUCAUUAACUGAAUCCAUAGGUUAAUGAGGCGAACCGGGGGAACUGAAACAUCUAAGUACCCCGAGGAAAAGAAAUCAACCGAGAUUCCCCCAGUAGCGGCGAGCGAACGGGGAGGAGCCCAGAGCCUGAAUCAGCAUGUGUGUUAGUGGAAGCGUCUGGAAAGGCGCGCGAUACAGGGUGACAGCCCCGUACACAAAAGCGCACAUGCUGUGAGCUCGAUGAGUAGGGCGGGACACGUGGUAUCCUGUCUGAAUAUGGGGGGACCAUCCUCCAAGGCUAAAUACUCCUGACUGACCGAUAGUGAACCAGUACCGUGAGGGAAAGGCGAAAAGAACCCCGGCGAGGGGAGUGAAAAAGAACCUGAAACCGUGUACGUACAAGCAGUGGGAGCACAGGUUUACCUGUGUGACUGCGUACCUUUUGUAUAAUGGGUCAGCGACUUAUAUUCUGUAGCAAGGUUAACCGAAUAGGGGAGCCGGAGGGAAACCGAGUCUUAAUUGGGCGUUAAGUUGCAGGGUAUAGACCCGAAACCCGGUGAUCUAGCCAUGGGCAGGUUGAAGGUUGGGUAACACUAACUGGAGGACCGAACCGACUAAUGUUGAAAAAUUAGCGGAUGACCUGUGGCUGGGGGUGAAAGGCCAAUCAAACCGGGAGAUAGCUGGUUCUCCCCGAAAGCUAUUUAGGUAGCGCCUCGUGAAUUCAUCUCCGGGGGUAGAGCACUGUUUCGGCUAGGGGGCCAUCCCGGCUUACCAACCCGAUGCAAACUGCGAAUACCGGAGAAUGUUAUCACGGGAGACACACGGCGGGUGCUAACGUCCGUCGUGAAGAGGGAAACAACCCAGACCGCCAGCUAAGGUCCCAAAGUCAUGGUUAAGUGGGAAACGAUGUGGGAAGGCCCAGACAGCCAGGAUGUUGGCUUAGAAGCAGCCAUCAUUUAAAGAAAGCGUAAUAGCUCACUGGUCGAGUCGGCCUGCGCGGAAGAUGUAACGGGGCUAAACCAUG
rnacentral:rRNA from 1 species